GAAUCUCUGUGUAGACACCACUAAGAAACUGCGCUCAGCUCAAGCUACUGCUGUUUCAGAAUUACAAGUUAGUUGUCAAAAUGAUUUAGUGCACUGGGAGAAUGAGGACAAUGUGACUGGAACAGCUACAUUACUGGACACCAGUGUGAUUAAAGGUCCAAUAAACAAAAUGCUUCUGGAGAAGAAGCACAGCUAUGAAUAUGCUGAUGAAAACGUAAUUGAAAACAUAAGGAAAAAAUUCCAAGAAAGCACAAUUCACAAUAAAAUGUAUCCCCUGAAGAAGAAAAGGGAAGAAACCUCUAAAAUGGAAUAAUACUGAAAUUAACCGGAAAUGACUGGAAAACUGCAUAUAUUAUGUAAUUAGAUCAUCCACAACUACAAUAACAGAUGAAUCAUGAAAGAAACACCAUCUUCCUUCUAUCUCAUGGAGAGCAUUCAAGGCUGCAAUUCAACUACACCAAGCCCCAUAGAAACUAAACUACUUUCACAAUCAUAA
rnacentral:lncRNA from 1 species